rnacentral:lncRNA from 1 species
CACAAAUCAAACCCUGCCCCAAGCUCCAACUUCCACUCGUUUCAGGUGGGUUGUAUGAAUGACAUUGGUGGAAAACAACAGAAAUCUUAUGGAGCCAACUGGCUGUGAGGCAAAUUACCUUGAGUUUCAAGACAUUUUAGAGCCGAGUCUCGUGGAAAAUUUUGCUUAAACCUGGUGUUCUCCAUGCUCAUGAGACAGCUUUCUCUCAGCGCCAUCUCAGGAAUAUAUAUGCAACGCCUUCCCUGUGGUGAAGAUUGUGAAAUAAGAAUGAAGGAAUCACUCAUGGAAAUAGAGGAAAUAAAAGAGAAGGUGCCUGUUCAAGGUGUACUGCUAGCAUUUUCAAGAGAACAGUAAUUAAGUCCAGUCCCCAGGACUUCUUGGAGAUUGCAGACACAUUGUUAUCAGAGGCUUCAGAGCUUGUAACAUUGUUCAGACUUCUCAGGAGGCUGCUUAUACUUGUUAUGAGCAGCUCAGAAAUCCUCCAGAAACCAUUAGCU